rnacentral:rRNA from 1 species
AUUGAACGCUGGCGGAAUGCUUUACACAUGCAAGUCGAGCGGCAGCGCGGCCUUCGGGCUGGCGGCGAGCGGCGAACGGGUGAGUAAUGCAUCGGAACAUGCCCAGUCGUGGGGGAUAACACUUCGAAAGAAGUGCUAAUACCGCAUACGUCCUGAGGGGGAAAGCGGGGGAUCGCAAGACCUCGCGCGAUUGGAGUGGCCGAUGUCAGAUUAGCUAGUUGGUGGGGUAAAGGCCUACCAAGGCGACGAUCUGUAGCUGGUCUGAGAGGAUGAUCAGCCACACUGGGACUGAGACGCGGCCCAGACUCCUACGGGAGGCAGCAGUGGGGAAUUUUGGACAAUGGGGGCAACCCUGAUCCAGCCAUUCCGCGUGAGUGAAGAAGGCCUUCGGGUUGUAAAGCUCUUUCGGCAGGAACGAAACGGUGGGCUCUAACAUAGUCCGCUAAUGACGGUACCUGAAGAAGAAGCACCGGCUAACUACGUG